rnacentral:rRNA from 1 species
CAGAGCAAACCCCUAAAAGCCAUCCCAGUUCGGAUUGCAGGCUGCAACCCGCCUGUAUGAAGUUGGAAUCGCUAGUAAUCGCGGAUCAGCAUGCCGCGGUGAAUACGUUCCCGGGCCUUGUACACACCGCCCGUCACACCAUGAGAGUCGGGAACACCCGAAGUCCGUAGCCUAACCGCAAGGAGGGCGCGGCCGAAGGUGGGUUCGAUAAUUGGGGUGAAGUCGUAACAAGGUAAC